GGGUGGGGCUCAGAAAUUUUUAACAAGUCUUCCAGGUGAUUCUGAUGCAUACUAAGUUUCGGGAACCAUGGCUGUAAUCAAAUCUGGCUCUCCAGAGGACUCUGCUCUCUUGCAGGCCUCCCAAGUGGAAGCUGUUUUUCAGUUGCAUUCCCUGGACCACUGGCUUGGGGCACUGGUGAAAGCCUGCCCUCUUAUCAAGCAUUUUUUUGUACCUGGAAGCGAGUGGAUUAACACCUCUGGGGGCAUGCCUUGUGGGCUGUAGGAAGAGAUGGAUAAAUUCAUCCCCAGUUGAUCCUCAGAUGGAGAAACAGAGGCUCAAAGUGAAGAAGUGAAAAGUAACUUGCUCAAUGUCACAUGGAAGUUACCCACAUGGAGCAAAAAUCAGUUAUUCCAGUUAAUACAAGCUUCAUGGUGUGCCGAUUGUGUGUCAGGCCCUGGGCUAGCGAGGGGAGCAUGUUGUUUCUCCUUCCUUCCCCUGGGCCCUCUCUCCAUGUUGCAAGAUCUCUUCUCUACUUGGGCAGCUCUAGGACUGAUCCAGAAGAAAGGGGAGCACUAGGCUCCAUUGCCUCCAGCCCCUGUAAGGAGGCUGUUGCACCCCGGCUGCUUUAUUCUUGGAGUCGCUCCUGCUGCAGGAGGCCAGAGGCCCAAUACCUUCAGCCCCCACCUCAACGGUGGCUUCACUUCAGCCUUUAUUUUACUCUUCACCCUUGAGGCUCUCUCAGCUGAAUGGCCUGGGACCAACAAUUCCAAAAAGACUCUUCUUCAAAAAGAUUGUCUUGGUGGCUUUUCUUCUCUGAUCUCUCUGCUUGCUUGACACACAGCUUAACCGCUAAUGCUUCAUUGGGAAGAGAAUUCCAGGGUGACUGGAGUGAGCGAAAAGGGAAGUGUGGCAAAGAACAGUGGGAAGCAAAUGCAAGAUGAUGUGUUACCAUGCUGACCGCUGCUUCACAAAGAGCCGCAAAGAGACAAAGCCAUUUCAUCAGCUGUGCACCUGCUUGGCCAUGUGUGGCAAUGUUUGGACAGACAGCACAGCAAAGUCCUGCAUCUAAACAGCCCAUCUGGUGGGAAGAAGUGAGAUGAUAUCUAUCUGCCAGCUUUCCUUCAUCUUCUGCUUCCUAAUGGUCACAGUUUGCCUUGUGGGAGUUGACUCCCUUACACUUAAGAAGUUCAAUCACCUGGUCCCUAUGGGAGAUUUGGGGAAGCCAGAUACCCCUCCGUGUGAUGUGUGCUUCUGGAAUCAAAGUCUAAAAAUGGCAGGAGGAACCAGAAACACUAGACAUGUCGCUUGUUUGGCCUCAGGCAUAAAAUCAUGUGUCAGACCCACAAGUACGUCUCCGGGUCAGUGGCCGAGAUGGAGGAAUUUGCUGAGGAUCUACGAAACAGAAUUUAAAAUUCCUUGGAAAUGGCUCAUGUCGCAAGACUUUUGUGUGGUGUUGGCCAGCACCAGGAGGAAGAGCGGCCCAGGGAAGGAAAACCAAACCAAUGUGGCUGCAUGUUUUCACGCCUUUGAAAAGGUUUAGGUUUGGCUCAAGCCAAGAAAGAACACUUGGGGUUUUUAUUUUGUGCCAGCUCCUUCAAAUACCAUUCACCUGACUCAUGAAGCUUUGAACAUCAAGAGGGAACAGGGAGUGAAUAAAUUUCAGUAUUCCUGAUGUUCAAACAUACUUUGAACGAGACUCCUUUCUGCUGGAAGAAAGAGCAGAACACAGAAUACCAUUAGAGCAAAAUGUACUCUUACAAUCUUUGCUGGACGGUGAGUGGCAACGCAAUUUGUUAAUCAGUCAACUCAUUAUGUUUCAGGAUUAUAAGUGAUACUAUGGUGGACAAGACUUAGAUUCUCCCUUGAGAUAGCUCACAUGGUUGAGUCAGGGGGACAAACCUGGACCAAAUUAUUUUGCCCUUUCCAAAAUUUCCCUAGAAUUUUAAAAUCCAGUAAUGCAUAUUAUUUAUGUUUUUGAGAAUAAUUUUGCUAUUUUACUCAUCUUACCAUCACAUAUGCUGAUUUCACUGCUUGGAAUGUCCCACUACCUAUUGUUUGCUCGGCGAAUUCCAAGUUCGAUCCCAAAUGCAGCUCAGACAUCAACCUUAAUCUUGCCAAACAUAAUUACUCCCUUAUCU
ensembl:lncRNA